rnacentral:rRNA from 1 species
ACGAACGCUGGCGGCAUGCCUAACACAUGCAAGUCGAACGAUUGCCUUCGGGUGAUAGUGGCGCACGGGUGCGUAACGCGUGGGAAUCUGCCCUUAGGUUCGGAAUAACAGCUGGAAACGGCUGCUAAUACCGGAUGAUAUCGCGAGAUCAAAGAUUUAUCGCCUGAGGAUGAGCCCGCGUUGGAUUAGGUAGUUGGUGGGGUAAAGGCCUACCAAGCCGACGAUCCAUAGCUGGUCUGAGAGGAUGAUCAGCCACACUGGGACUGAGACACGGCCCAGACUCCUACGGGAAGCAGCAGUGGGGAAUAUUGGACAAUGGGCGCAAGCCUGAUCCAGCAAUGCCGCGUGAGUGAUGAAGGCCCUAGGGUUGUAAAGCUCUUUUACCCGGGAAGAUAAUGACUGUACCGGGAGAAUAAGCCCCGGCUAACUCCGUG